rnacentral:rRNA from 1 species
UACGAAGGGUGCAAGCGUUAAUCGGAAUUACUGGGCGUAAAGCGUGCGCAGGCGGCUCUUUAAGUCAGAUGUGAAAGCCCCGGGCUUAACCUGGGAAUUGCGUUUGAAACUGGAGAGCUGGAGUGUGGAAGAGGGGGGUGGAAUUCCAGGUGUAGCAGUGAAAUGCGUAGAGAUCUGGAGGAACACCGAUGGCGAAGGCAGCCCCCUGGGCUAACACUGACGCUCAUGCACGAAAGCGUGGGGAGCAAACAGG